AUCUAGAGAAAGGGGAAGUAGAACCGUUAGAGAGAGAGAGGGAGAGAGAGAAGAGGCAAAGCUUCUCCCUAAGGAAUUCAACAUCCAUGGAAGCUUGAAGAUGGUUGAAGAAGAUAGAAGAGAGAGGAAAGAUCAACCAAAAGCUUGGGAAAAAUUGAAGAGACUAAGGGAUGAACAAAGGUUUGGGUAAGGUCGAGACGAGGACAUUGUACCAUUACCACCGGGAACCGAUCACUGUAACCAACCAAGUGGUCAGUCCUAGUCAUGACACCCGUUUUCUUUUGUCAACCUUCGUGGGUUCAGGCGCUGCACGAAGCCAUUUAUUUUUGUAAAGUCUAUUGAAAUGUUGGCUUAAUUUUGAUUACCUAUUUAAAGUUAAAGAGGUAGAACUUCA